AUAGGAUAUUGUGCUUAGACGAGGGAGGUGAAGGCCAAAGAGGUGAGGUGGAAUGCCACCUAAGUUUCUGGUUUGGCUGAUUGGGGAUAGGGAGGAUGAUUUGAGGGAGAGGUUCGGGGUAAUGAUUUAGGCAUGUUAUCACUGGGAGCUUGGUAGGGAGGAUGGGAGGGGGCUGAGGGUUGAAACGGUAUCUAUUGGGCACAAGGUAUACUAUUCAGUUGAUGGA
rnacentral:lncRNA from 10 species